GUGAAUCAUCAAAUCUUUGAACGCAAAUUGCACUCUCUGGUAUUCUGGAGAGUAUGCCUGUUUGAGGGUCAGUUUAAAUAAAAAUCGGGGUUUUUGUCACCUUUGGUGGUGAGGCUUCGGAAUUGGGUCGUCUUUACCUUUCGGUUAAGUGACUUAGAAUUUUUGAAUGAUAUCUGAACGUAGUUAAAUUUAUUUGGUAUGUCUUUGUAGUAUCGAAUGUCUAUUAGGUGUGGUCAUCCUAAUGGUUCACGUGUAUAGUUUUUCUUCUAAUGACCUC
rnacentral:misc_RNA from 1 species